AUACGUAGGUGGCGAGCGUUGUCCGGAUUUACUGGGUGUAAAGGGCGAGUAGGCGGAUGAGCAAGUCAGACGUGAAAUACCGGGGCUUAACCCCGGGGCUGCAUUUGAAACUGCUUAUCUUGAGUGAUGGAGAGGCAGGCGGAAUUCCCGGUGUAGCGGUGGAAUGCGUAGAUAUCGGGAGGAACACCAGUGGCGAAGGCGGCCUGCUGGACAUUAACUGACGCUGAUGAGCGAAAGCGUGGGGAGCAAACAGGAUUAGAUACCCUGGUAGUCCACGCUGUAAACGAUGGAUACUAGGUGUGGGAGGUAUGGACCCCUUCCGUGCCGGAGUUAACACAAUAAGUAUCCCACCUGGGGAGUACGGCCGCAAGGUUGA
rnacentral:rRNA from 1 species